GCUGCUCGUAAUAAUCACACACCUCUCCGUGGUGAGCAGCAGGCAACGAUUUAAGAAUGUAUGGUUCGAUGAUCGGCGAAGAUGUGCGA
rnacentral:ribozyme from 10 species